rnacentral:rRNA from 1 species
UACGAAGGGUGCAAGCGUUACUCGGAAUUACUGGGCGUAAAGGGUGCGUAGGUGGUUUUUUAAGUCCGUUGUGAAAUCCCUGGGCUCAACCUGGGAAUGGCAGUGGAUACUGGAAAGCUAGAGUGCGGUAGAGGGUAGUGGAAUUCCCGGUGUAGCAGUGAAAUGCGUAGAGAUGUGGAGGAACACCAAUGGCGAAGGCAGCCUUCUGGGCCAACACUGACGCUCAUGCACGAAAGCGUGGGGAGCAAACAGG